rnacentral:tRNA from 4 species
GGGCUUAUAGCGCAGUUGGUUAGCGCGCUUCCUUGACAUGGAAGAGGUCACAGGUUCGAGUCCUGUUAGGCCCACCA